UACGUAGGGUGCAAGCGUUAAUCGGAAUUACUGGGCGUAAAGCGCACGUAGGCGGCUUUGUAAGUUAGAGGUGAAAGCCCGGGGCUCAACUCCGGAACUGCCUUUAAGACUGCAUCGCUUGAAUCCAGGAGAGGUGAGUGGAAUUCCGAGUGUAGAGGUGAAAUUCGUAGAUAUUCGGAAGAACACCAGUGGCGAAGGCGGCUCACUGGACUGGGUAUUGACGCUGAGGUGCGAAAGCGUGGGGAGCAAACAGG
rnacentral:rRNA from 1 species